UUAAUUGAAAUUUGUAUGGAGUUGGAACGUUUACCGCUAGAGGCGCUGUUCCAAGUGCAUAGAAAUUUGAGUUA
rnacentral:pre_miRNA from 1 species